rnacentral:rRNA from 1 species
GACGAACGCUGGCGGCGUGCUUAACACAUGCAAGUCGAACGGAAAGGCUCUGCUGUUGUGGGGGGCUCGAGUGGCGAACGGGUAAGUAACACGGGAGUAACCUGCCCUUGGCUUUGGGAUAACUUCAGGAAGCUAGGGCUAAUACCGGAUAGGAGCUCCUGCUGAAUGGUGGGGGUUGGAAAGCUUCGGCGGUUGGGGAUGGACUCGCGUCUUAUCAGCUUGUUGGUGGGGUAGUGGCUUACCAAGGCUUUGACGGGUAGCCGGCCUGAGAGGGUGACCGGCCACAUUGGGACUGAGAUACGGCCCAGACUCCUACGGGAGGCAGCAGUGGGGAAUAUUGCACAAUGGGCGGAAGCCUGAUGCAGCAACGCCGCGUGCGGGAUGACGGCCUUCGGGUUGUAAACCGCUUUCGCCUGUGACGAAGCGUGAGUGACGGUAAUGGGUAAAGAAGCACCGGCUAACUACGUG